UACGUAGGGUGCAAGCGUUGUCCGGAAUGAUUGGGCGUAAAGCGUCCGCAGGUGGCUGUGUAAGUCUGCUGUUAAAUAGUGAGGCUCAACCUCAUAAAGGCAGUGGAAACUACACGGCUAGAGUGCGUUCGGGGCAGAGGGAAUUCCUGGUGUAGCGGUGAAAUGCGUAGAGAUCAGGAAGAACACCGGUGGCGAAAGCGCUCUGCUAGGCCGCAACUGACACUGAGGGACGAAAGCUAGGGGAGCGAAUGGG
rnacentral:rRNA from 1 species